rnacentral:sRNA from 1 species
AAGGUGAGGCAUCCGCGGUCGCGGCCCAU